AGUGAACGCUGGCGGUAGGCCUAACACAUGCAAGUCGAACGGCAGCACAGUAAGAGCUUGCUCUUACGGGUGGCGAGUGGCGGACGGGUGAGGAAUACAUCGGAAUCUACUUUUUCGUGGGGGAUAACGUAGGGAAACUUACGCUAAUACCGCAUACGACCUACGGGUGAAAGCAGGGGAUCUUCGGACCUUUCGCGAUUGAAUGAGCCGGUGUCGGAUUAGCUAGUUGGCGGGGUAAAGGCCCACCAAGGCGACGAUCCGUAGCUGGUCUGAGAGGAUGAUCAGCCACACUGGAACUGCGAAACGGUCCAGACUCCUACGGGAGGCAGCAGUGGGGAAUAUUGGACAAUGGGCGCAAGCCUGAUCCAGCCAUACCGCGUGGGUGAAGAAGGCCUUCGGGUUGUAAAGCCCUUUUGUUGGGAAAGAAAAGCAGCAGGUUAAUACCCCGCUGUUCUGACGGUACCCAAAGAAUAAGCACCGGCUAACUUCGUG
rnacentral:rRNA from 1 species